rnacentral:rRNA from 1 species
CGUGCUUAACACAUGCAAGUCGAACGGUGAAGGAGGGCUUGCCCUCCGGAUCAGUGGCGAACGGGUGAGUAACACGUGGGCAACCUGCCCCUCACUCUGGGAUAACGCCGGGAAACCGGCGCUAAUACCGGAUACGACCUCGCGAGACAUCUCGUGCGGUGGAAAGAACUUCGGUGAGGGAUGGGCCGGCGGCCUAUCAGCUUGUUGGUGGGGUAACGGCCCACCAAGGCGACGACGGGUAGCCGGCCUGAGAGGGCGACCGGCCACACUGGGACUGAGACACGGCCCAGACUCCCACGGGAGGCUGCAGUCGAGAAUCUUCGGCAAUGGGCGCAAGCCUGACCGAGCGACGCCGCGUGGAGGACGAAGGCCUUCGGGUUGUAAACUCCUGUCGAGGGGGAGGAAGGCGCAAGCUUGACCGAUCCCUGGAGGAAGCACGGGCUAAGUUCGUGCCAGCCGCCGCCGUAACAC